UACAUUGCAGAGGGCGGAGCUACCCCUCUUCCCCCAGGACCCCGCUGGGGGGAGGGGCGGUGGUCGAUGGAAUGUUGAGACAUUAAAAAAAAAACCCAACGUUCCCCGUAACUAGCCCCCGUGGGGAGCUGAGCCGGGGGAGCGCAGGCGUUGGGGUGUACGCAUUGCGCAGCGCUCUUGUCCACACGUUGCCAUGACCAGUUCGGAACAGUCAGAGAUGCUGUUUGGGACAGAAAUACAGCGCUUGAAAUUCCUGGUUUCUGUAGAUUUGAUUCUGGUGACAGGGGACUGUAAAGCGUGUUAAGCUCCAAAGACCAUCACGUGCAGAGUGCAAUACUAUUUUGCCUUCUGAUCUACAUACACGUCGUGCUUUCCUUUUGGUGCCCCCGAAUGCAAAGGAUCCGUGGCCUAUGUACUUGGAAAUACCCAAUACAGCUCGCUUGAUCUGAAAUCAACGUGGAAAGAAUUCAAACCAUGUCGGAUUAUUGCGCUCUCUAAAGCAGGAUCUUCAGCAGAAGAGGAAAUGGAGGGAAGGCGUAAAGACAGUCCUUGUCCUGGGGAGAAGAAGAGCAUUGCCAAGAGAGUGUCCAAUCCCCCCAACCCCAGAACAGUAUCAUGGACACUUCUUGUUCUGAUUCUCUGUGACCCAAGAAUGGCCCUGGGACCCUUCAAUGGAGAGAGGCAUCAGUCUUCUCAGUGAAGAGCUUCACGCCUCCAAAGGGGGUGUCCGCCACCAUGGUCUGCAUCUCCUUUGGGAAUUCCGAGAGGUGGAAUCAUGACGCCCAUUUCAUCACCACUGCCAUGGAGAUGGUCCUGGUAGCUGUGAUGGCACAGCCAUAUAAAAGCCAAAAGAAAGCUAAAGGGUUUCUAAAAGCUAAAGAUUAACAACUGAAAAGAAGAGUUAAUGAUCUGCUAAUGGACAGCUAAAGGUUCCAUUUCUAGUCAGAGCAGUUGAGAAGGCACUGAGGACAGCGCAGCAGGAAGAGAGACUGCGCAUGUAUUGACCCAACUGACACUGUUACCAAAGUUCUCUGAUCGGCAGUGCAGGAACACAGACGUAUCUACAGUGGAGCACCCGCAGGGACACUACUCAAGAAGAAGUUAUUUUCCCCUUCUCAUAACACUCAAACCAGGGGUCAGCCAAUGAAAUUAACAGGCAGCAGGUUUAAAACAAACUAAAGGAAGUAUUUCUUCACACAGCGCACCAUUAACCCGUGGAACUUGUCAGGGGAGGUUGUGAAGGCCAAAAUAUAAUAGGCUUCAAAAACAAAUUCAGUAAGUUCAUGGAGGAUAGGUCUAGCAAUGGCUAUUAACCAAGAUGGUCAAAGACCCAACCCCAUGCUCUGGCUGUCCCUAGCCUCUGACUGCCAGAAGUUUGGGCUGGAUGAGAGGGGAUGGAUCACUUGAUGAUUGCCUGUUCUGUUCACUCCCUCUGGGGCACCUGGCAUUGGCCACUGUCGGAAGACAGGACACUGGGCUAGAUGGAUCUUUGGUCUGACCCAGUAUGGUAAUUUGUAUGUCCUUAAGAUUCCAACAAAGGCAUGUUCUCUCCUUGUUGCCUUUGUGGGGCUGGCCCUUCCUAAUGUUAUUGGCCUGCAAUCUAGAGGCUCCUACCUCUGCCUCCCUGUGGUUAUGAGUAUAAUGCACUUAAGGCCAAUCAGAGCCUUCCAUAAAAACACCUGUCAGGGGAGCCAGGGACCUCUGGGAGCUUCACCUUGCCAAGUUUCUUUGGAAUCAUCCCAUUUGGGGGGGUGGGGGACUGCCCCCAUGCAGCAGGCAGUGGUUGUGGAUAUACAAAAGAUCCAUGGGGAAAUCCUGUGGGUCCCAGGGCAUCUAGCGGUCUAGUGCCUCCAUGUGGCAGCACAGCCUAGCCCCCACUAGUAUCCAUGUUGUGCUUGGGCAAACCAUCCUCUUCAGUAGGGCUUGCACAGCACAGAGUGGGGGAGAGUCUGUGGAAAGCCCCUUGGGUUUACAGGUAGAUGAUGCCACAGAGCUUGGUUUAUUCCAGCCUCAUCCCCACUCUGUAAGAAAAGAACAGGUAAUAUAUUUAAAUAAAUACAAAUAGACAGGUGCCUUGACAUACCCAGAAUGUUUGGCAGCACAGCAGCUGAGUUCUCCCUGGAUGUACCUGAAAUAAUUGACAAGUGGCUAAAUAACUUGGGAUCCAACUUUGAUAAUGUGUAUUGUGAUGCAUUAAAAACUUGUUAAAAUUACAAGCUAUCACUUUAAGUUAUAAGGGGUUUCCUGGUUCUGCUGGUAGCCUAGGGAAAUCUGUAGGGAAGAAGCAAGUGAUUACAGCUGCAGAGUUGGCCUCUAGGGUGGGGUGAGUUGUGUUUCUCUGCUUUGGGGUGCAACCUGCUUUGUUUCUCUCUGUUUUUGUUUCUUGUGUGUUAGAGUUCUGGAUUCUAAGA